UCUAUAUAAUUUAAGGAAAGUGUUAAAAAAUUAUUAACAAACAAGGGAAAUAAUAGUAAAUUAAUAAAAAAGCAAGGUAAUGGAUCAACGAUAAAGAACACAUCAAAAUAUAUUCAAUCAAAAGAAGAAAGCAUGACAGAAAAAAUGUAUAAACAGAUGUUAAAUAAACAUAAAUGUUAGAAAUAUAUGAGAAAUAUAGAAAUAAUCCAAGAAAUCCAUAAGAAUAGAAAGAGAGAGAGAGAGAGAGAGAGAGAGACGGGGGAGAGAAAGAGGCCAUGUUCAAACUGUUUCAAUCGAUUCUCAUUAUUGUAUUUCAAUUUGCAAUUAUUUUACUGUCAUCCUCUACUCAAGCACUAAACAUGCAAGUUGAAAAGUGCUAAAUGGUCGGAUAAAACAACUUGCAGCAUGCAUAUCUACAGCUCGCACUCUUAUACACACGCACACACAAUCUCUCAACUACAAAUAUAUGUCUUUAUAUAUAAAUAUAUAUAUAUAUACACAGUUCAAGGCCACGCCCCCCUACUUACGCUGCUCCCCAUCGCGCCCACCACGCACUGCCAUCAAAUAGCGACUCAGCCGAGGCGGUGUCAUACUAAUUCGCACCUUUCGACAGGUGAAAAGCCCACACGGAAUCAACAGUCGUCAGUUGCGGCCGAAGAGCCAGGCGAAACUGACACUGAGCACCAACAUGCGGCCCACUAAAAACAUUAAGCUAAACACUGAACCCAAAACACUAAACACAACCAAAGUUGACCGCGGCCCAAUUAGUGUCAUCUUCUCGGGAGGAUUAAUGCCCAGCUGCGAGUGUUCGCGGCAACCAGACAGAUAUGCAUUUUGCGGUAGUGUGACCAAGUCACGCACGUAAUUUGGAAUUGCGGUGGGCACACUGCUUGCAUUAAAGUUACUUCACAGUCAAUAUCAAUUUCAAUAUCUACACAUCAACACGAUUGCCAUUUGUUUGCAUUUUUGUAUUUCUCACGUUCGUUAAUUAUUUGACUUAUUUAUAAUGGUGUUUUUCCUCGUUUUAUUAUUUUUUCGGAGCAUUCCCACUUUGAGGAGCGGUCUCUACUCGACUAACACUCAACAUUUGGUUUGCUGCCAGUCGUUUUGCUUUCCUCGUGCAUUUAUGCUUCCCAUGAAUAUUUGAGCUUUGAGCUUUGGCCUUGGCUUCAACCGAUUCAACCCACCACAAGAGCACAAGAGUUCACCAAGUGCGUCACAAGCGGAACACACACACUGGCAAAAAAAGUGGGCAACAAACAGGAGCACAGAGAGCGUGAGAUUGAGAGGGAUAGCGGAGGAAGAGAGUGAGAAAUUCGCAAUUUGGCACACUGCGAAUUACCGUUGUGCCACUCACUGCUGCUGCUGCCGCUGCGUUUUGGUUUAUUUCCUGUCAUGCCACUGCCAAAAUCAGGACACGUUACUAAUGCGUAAAACGCUGGCAAAAAAUCCAACGAAAAAAAUAUGAAAUCAACAUGAAAAUAGAAACGCAAUCAGAGCCAAAUGGUGGAAAUGCAGGAAAAGCGUGAAAAACGAAAUAGGACUCAACUCGACGGAGGCGGCGCCCUUGCAACUGCUUGCUGCUCUGCUUGCGACUGCCUGCGACUGCGACUGUGGCUGCUGCUUGCGCGUUUGCGACUGCUGCGGCUCCUCUGCUGCGGCUUCUGCUGCUGCUGCUGCUGUUGCGUCGGCUCCCUUCGCCAAAUGCGAGUGCGUGCGAUGGCGACGAGGGACGCGGAGCAGGACGAGCAGGAAGCUGCGCCGGAGGUGCAAGCCGACCAGAGCGGCCCCACAUGAUUAGGAAGCUAACGGGGAGCGUCGCAGGACAUCUGCAGAGAGCGCAUGCCGCCGCCAGAGAGAACGAGAGAGAAAGCUUCUGCCCACAGAGAGAAUUUGGAAGGCAGUGUUGGCCGUUCGAAAGUAAGGAUUAAAGCUCUGUCUAGCUUGAAAACUUCCUUUCUAUAAAUCAGCUGGACUAUGAUUGCUUUCGUUACUAGUCAUGCACCAAGUUUUACCAAGUUUUAAUAAAUAAAAACUAUUUGUACACAUCCCAUUUCAGCUUUCUUCGAUUGUAUGUCCAAACACAAUCAGUUUUAUGCCAUAACACUAGUAAUAAUAGUCCAAAUAUGGAAUGUGAGGCCUUGUUGAGCUCGUAAUUAAAUUUCCAAUCAAACUGUGUUCAAAAAUGCAAUUUCUAUUUUUUGGCCAUUUUUACAAAAAAUUCAAAAAUUGACCCAAAAAUUCAUUUUCCCAAAUUCUUCAAAAAGUGAUAGGGAUCGUUAGCACUGGUAAUUAGCUGCUCAAAAAAGUUAUUUUUUUUAUCUAUAUGACAAUUUUCAGCGAAGAUAUGACGACAAAUUCCGUUUGUAAAUAUCAAGUUUUUGGCAAAAGCAGAUUUUCCGAAUUUCGGUCAUUAAAUAAUCAGUUUUUUUUGCCAUAACUAUAAAAAUAAUAGCCUGAAUUUGGAAUGUUAUACCUUGUCGAGCGUCAUGCGUUGCACCCUGAAGGCCUUCUGCGCCGCCAUGUCUCUUGUCCGCCGCAUGAACACGAUGAUCAAGCAGGGCGCCGCCCUGCCCUCCAACACCUCCUCCUGCUACGUCAAUGCUACCAAGAGGUAGUCGACGGCUGCAACGCCUUCGUGUCCAACAUCAAUACCAGCAUCGCCAGCAUGACAUAAGCGCUUCCAAAAAUGGUAAUAAAACCAUGAAAUUAUAAGCAAAGCAGAUGCUGUUUUCCUGAUUUGGGGGUUAUUCGGAUCGGGGUGUGGCAACCUUAUCUUAUAGCUUUCUAGCCUGUAGAGUGCCUCAGAUCCCGAGAUACGGACGGACAGACAAACAUGACUUAUUUUUAGCUGUUUCAAACUUUUAAACAAAUGUGACACAUACAAAGAAGGUCACAACACGUAGUUAAACACGUUACUCGUAGAGUAAAAGGGUAUACUAGAUUCGUUGAAAAUGAUGUAACCUAGUCUCCGACCUUAUAAAGUGUACAACACGUCGAUACGAUUCGACCAAAAUUUCUUAGCCACACCGAGUAAAUUAGCGCGGCGGCUAGAAAUAUAAAUAAGCUGAAUAUUAAUAUUUAAUUGAGUAUGAUGAACUUACCACACCGCCAACGGCAAAGGAAAACAUGGGGGCGUACCCACCUAACAGAAGGAUGUUUCCCAGGAUGCGAAUCUGCCGGGAUCGUUUUGAUGAAAUCUAACUUUAUUCCAUCUAGUUGGCGUGGGGUUUGCCGUACACGUAUACAGCUAGCAAUUCGGUUAUUCGAACCCCAUUCGUCACUUGGUACAGCUAAUUUGAUACAAAAAUCUACCAUAUUCUAUAGAAAAAAGGAAAAUGCCUUCGAUCAAUCCAUUUUUUGAAUAUGUGGCUGAAUACCGUAGAGAACAUCCAGACCUAAGACUACAACGAGUUAUCUUAUCAAGAGCUUCGGGUGAAUGGAAGACUUUAUCCGAAUCGCAGAAAUAUCGCUACCGCAAACAAGCGAGCGAUGAACGAAAUCGGCGUCGGAGAGUUGCUAUGGCAGAGAUGCCAACGAUGCUGUGCCAAGGAUGCCGUUAUGCCAAAUUAGCAUUUUAUGCACUGCUUUUUUGUUGUUUAGUUUUGUUUUGCUUUUGCUUUUGUUUUUAUUGGUUUUCUUUUUAGUGAACAAAAUAAUAAUCAGUUUUUUGUCAGAACAUUCCAAAUAAAGGUUCAAAUAUAGAAUGCCAUACCUGGUUGAGCUCGUAAGAAAAUUUCCAAUAAAACGGUGUUUAAAACUGGAUAUUUACAUUUUUUGCCAUUUUUUGCAAAUUUUGAUGAUGUUACCCCUUACAAAAAAUGGUAAAAUUGAUUCAAAAAUUAAUUUUCCUAAAUUCUUAAAAAAAUGAUAGGGAUCGUAAUUAGCUGCUCAAAACAGUUAUUCGUUCGUCUGUAUGAAAAUUUUCGGCGAUGUUAUGACGAAAAUUCCGUUUGUAAAUAUCAAGAUUUUGGCAAAAGCCGUUUUUCCGAAUUUCGGACAUCAAAUAGUCCGUUUUUUUGCCACAACUUUAAAAAGAAUAGCCUGAAUAUGGAAUGUUAUACCUCGUUGUUCUCGUAAUUAAAUUUCCAAUCAAACUGUGUU